rnacentral:rRNA from 1 species
CACGUAGGGGGCGAGCGUUGUCCGGAUUCAUUGGGCGUAAAGCGCGCGCAGGCGGCUCGGUAAGUCGGGUGUGAAAACUCGGGGCUCAACCCCGGGCGUGCAUCCGAUACUGCCGGGCUUGAGGCAGGUAGGGGAGAUCGGAAUUCCUGGUGUAGCGGUGAAAUGCGCAGAUAUCAGGAGGAACACCGGUGGCGAAGGCGGAUCUCUGGGCCUGUCCUGACGCUGAGGCGCGAAAGCCAGGGGAGCGAACGGG